rnacentral:rRNA from 1 species
UACGAAGGGGGCUAGCGUUGUUCGGAAUCACUGAGCGUAAAGGGCGCGUAGGCGGCCGAUCAAGUCGGGGGUGAAAGCCUGUGGCUCAACCACAGAAUUGCCUUCGAUACUGUUUGGCUUGAGACCGGAAGAGGUAAGUGGAACUGCGAGUGUAGAGGUGAAAUUCGUAGAUAUUCGCAAGAACACCAGUGGCGAAGGCGGCUUACUGGUCCGGUUCUGACGCUGAGGCGCGAAAGCGUGGGGAGCAAACAGG